GUCAAGCAAUAAGCCAUCAGCUAUUUUCAAGGUUUUAUAUGUUAUAUAAAUAUAUAUUUCUGGCCAUCUAGGCACAGUAUCUUCAUAGACUGUAGUGCUCAGCUCAUAUUGGUAUUUAAUAGUCACCUUGCGGUGAACCAGUCACCGAAAUGCAAGACAUUGCCAUGGAUGAAGAAGAUGCAGGGGCACCACUAUCACAACAGGAAGUCAGCUCGACACAACAGCACGCUGCAUCUCAAGGCUUCCUCUUCCGCAUCACUGAGCCAGAUAAAAACGCUGCAUUCAGGCACCACCAACGCUAAACACACACACUCACCUGCCAGAGCUCUUUUUUUUACGGUUCUUCUUGCAACUGGCUGUGGCAUCGUACCCUCAUAAGUGCAGUCUUCUCAGAGAACUUUGCCAAACCUGUUGUUAAAGGACUAAUUGUAAAGAUUUCCCCUUGGCUUGUCCUUUGC